CUACGGGGCGCAGCAGUGGGGAAUAUUGGACAAUGGGGGAAACCCUGAUCCAGCAAUGCCGCGUGUGUGAAGAAGGCCUGCGGGUUGUAAAGCACUUUCGGUUGGGAGGACUGCUUCUAGCACUAAUAUUGUUGGAAGUUGACGUUACCUUCAGAAGAAGCACCGGCUAACUCCGUGCCAGCAGCCGCGGUAAUACGGGAGGGUGCAAGCGUUAAUCGGAAUUACUGGGCGUAAAGCGCGCGUAGGUGGCUAGAUCAGUCGGGUGUGAAAGCCCCGGGCUUAACCUGGGAACUGCAUCUGAUACUGUCUAGCUUGAGUACAGGAGAGGGGAGUGGAAUUCCACAUGUAGCGGUGAAAUGCGUAGAUAUGUGGAGGAACACCAAUGGCGAAGGCAGCUCUCUGGCCUGAUACUGACGCUGAGGUGCGAAAGCGUGGGGAGCAAACAGGAUUAGAUACCCGAGUAGUC
rnacentral:rRNA from 1 species